AGGUCAAGCUAAUAAGAGCGCAAGGGGAAUGCCUUGGCAUCAGGAGCCGAAGAAGGACGUGGCAAGCUGCGAUAAGCUUGGGGGAGGCGCAAACAGCCUUUGAUCCCGAGAUUUCCGAAUGGGGAAACCCGGCAGAGCAAUACUCUGUCAGCGUGCGUUGAAUCAAAUAGGCGUACGCGGGGAACCGCCUGAACUGAAACUUCUAAGUAGGGCGAGGAAGAGAAAUCAACAGAGAUUCCGC
rnacentral:rRNA from 1 species